AGCGAACGCUGGCGGCAGGCUUAACACAUGCAAGUCGAGCGGGCACUUUCGGGUGUCCGCGGCGGACGGGUGAGUAACGCGUGGGAAUGUGCCCUCUGGUUCGGAAUAACUCAGGGAAACUUGAGCUAAUACCGGAUACGCCCUUUUGGGGAAAGGCUUGCUGCCGGAGGAUCGGCCCGCGUCUGAUUAGCUAGUUGGUGAGGUAACGGCUCACCAAGGCGACGAUCAGUAGCUGGUCUGAGAGGAUGAUCAGCCACACUGGGACUGAGACACGGCCCAGACUCCUACGGGAGGCAGCAGUGGGGAAUAUUGGACAAUGGGCGCAAGCCUGAUCCAGCCAUGCCGCGGGAGUGAUGAAGGCCUAGGGUUGUAAAGCUCUUUUAUCCGGGACGAUAAUGACGGUACCGGAGGAAUAAGCCCCGGCUAACUUCGUG
rnacentral:rRNA from 1 species